rfam:Asian citrus Psyllid, Diaphorina citri - Florida Strain, whole genome shotgun sequence.
GCGUACGUAGGUUGUGAUUGGUGUCAAUAUUCGUCCGUUUUCCGCUGCAAUAUUGCACUUUUCCCGGCCUACGUAUGU